UACGUAGGGGGCGAGCGUUGUCCGGAAUUACUGGGCGUAAAGGGUGCGUAGGCGGUUUGGUAAGUUGGAUGUGAAAUACCCGGGCUUAACUUGGGGGGUGCAUCCAAUACUGCCGGACUUGAGUGCAGGAGAGGAAAGCGGAAUUCCUAGUGUAGCGGUGAAAUGCGUAGAUAUUAGGAGGAACACCGGUGGCGAAGGCGGCUUUCUGGACUGUAACUGACGCUGAGGCACGAAAGCGUGGGGAGCAA
rnacentral:rRNA from 1 species